GACGAACGCUGGCGGCGUGCUUAACACAUGCAAGUCGAACGGAAAGGCCCUGCUUUUGUGGGGUGCUCGAGUGGCGAACGGGUGAGUAACACGUGAGUAACCUGCCCUUGACUUUGGGAUAACUUCAGGAAACUGGGGCUAAUACCGGAUAGGAGCUCCUGCUGCAUGGUGGGGGUUGGAAAGUUUCGGCGGUUGGGGAUGGACUCGCGGCUUAUCAGCUUGUUGGUGGGGUAGUGGCUUACCAAGGCUUUGACGGGUAGCCGGCCUGAGAGGGUGACCGGCCACAUUGGGACUGAGAUAUGGCCCAGACUCCUACGGGAGGCAGCAGUGGGGAAGAUUGCACAAUGGGCGGAAGCCUGAUGCAGCAACGCCGCGUGCGGGAUGACGGCCUUCGGGUUGUAAACCGCUUUCGCCUGUGACGAAGCGUGAGUGACGGUAAUGGGUAAAGAAGCACCGGCUAACUACGUG
rnacentral:rRNA from 1 species